AUUGAACGCUGGCGGCAGGCCUAACACAUGCAAGUCGAACGGUAACAGGAAGCAGCUUGCUGCUUUGCUGACGAGUGGCGGACGGGUGAGUAAUGUCUGGGAAACUGCCUGAUGGAGGGGGAUAACUACUGGAAACGGUAGCUAAUACCGCAUAACGUCGCAAGACCAAAGAGGGGGACCUUCGGGCCUCUUGCCAUCGGAUGUGCCCAGAUGGGAUUAGCUAGUAGGUGGGGUAACGGCUCACCUAGGCGACGAUCCCUAGCUGGUCUGAGAGGUUGACCAGCCACACUGGAACUGAGACACGGUCCAGACUCCUACGGGAGGCAGCAGUGGGGAAUAUUGCACAAUGGGCGCAAGCCUGAUGCAGCCAUGCCGCGUGUAUGAAGAAGGCCUUCGGGUUGUAAAGUACUUUCAGCGGGGAGGAAGGGAGUAAAGUUAAUACCUUUGCUCAUUGACGUUACCCGCAGAAGAAGCACCGGCUAACACCGUG
rnacentral:rRNA from 1 species